GACGAACGCUAGCGGCGUGCCUAAUACAUGCAAGUCGAACGCAGUGGGGACGGGUGAGUAACACGUGGGUAACCUCCCAUCAGAGGGGAUAACACUUGGAAACAGGUGCUAAACCGAUACUGAUGGAUGGACCAGCGGUGCAUUAGCUAGUUGGUGAGGGAACGGCUCACCAUGGCCACGAUGAGUAGCCACCCUGAGAGUGUGUGCAGCCUCACUAGGACUGAUACACGGCCCAGACUCCUACGGGAGGCAGCAUUGGGGAAGCUGCGGCAAUGGACGAAAGUCUGACCGAGCAACGCCGCGUGAGUGACGAAGGUUUUGGGAUCGUAAAACUCUUUUGUUAGAGAAGCGGUAUCUAACCAGAAAGCCACGGCUAACUACGUGCCAGCAGCCGCGGUAAUAC
rnacentral:rRNA from 1 species